UACAGAGGUCUCAAGCGUUGUUCGGAUUCAUUGGGCGUAAAGGGUGCGUAGGCGGCGCGGUAAGUCGGGUGUGAAAUCUCGGAGCUUAACUCCGAAACUGCAUUCGAUACUGCCGUGCUUGAGGACUGGAGAGGAGACUGGAAUUUACGGUGUAGCAGUGAAAUGCGUAGAGAUCGUAAGGAAGACCAGUGGCGAAGGCGGGUCUCUGGACAGUUCCUGACGCUGAGGCACGAAGGCCAGGGAGCAAACGGG
rnacentral:rRNA from 1 species